GGAGGCAUAACUCAAUGUUAGAGUAUGUGCUUGGCAUGCAUGAGGUCCUGGGUUCAAUCUCCAGUACCUGCG
rnacentral:tRNA from 1 species